rnacentral:rRNA from 1 species
UACAGAGGGGGCAAGCGUUAUUCGGAAUUAUUGGGCGUAAAGGGCGCGUAGGCGGCCUGGCAAGUGGAAGGUGAAAUCCCUCGGCUUAACCGAGGAACUGCCCUCCAAACUGCUUGGCUUGAGUCCGGGAGAGGUGAGUGGAAUUCCCAGUGUAGCGGUGAAAUGCGCAGAUAUCAGGAGGAACACCAAUGGCGAAGGCAGCUCGCUGGAACGGUACUGACGCUGAGGCGCGAAAGCGUGGGGAGCGAACAGG